GCCAUUACUGACGCUGAUGCACGAAAGCGUGGGGAGCGAACAGGAUUAGAUACCCUGGUAGUCCACGCCGUAAACGAUGAUCACUCGCUGUUGGCGAUACACAGUCAGCGGCUAAGCAAAAGCAUUAAGUGAUCCACCUGGGGAGUACGGCCGCAAGGCUGAAACUCAAAGGAAUUGACGGGGGCCCGCACAAGCGGAGGAACAUGUGGUUUAAUUCGAUGAUACGCGAGGAACCUUACCUGGGCUUAAAUGUAGAGUGCAUGAGGUGGAAACACUUCUUCCCUUCGGGGCUUUUUACAAGGUGCUGCAUGGUUGUCGUCAGCUCGUGCCGUGAGGUGUCGGGUUAAGUCCCAUAACGAGCGCAACCCUUAUCGUUAGUUGCCAGCGGGUAAUGCCGGGGACUCUAACGAAACUGCCGGUGUAAACCGUGAGGAAGGUGGGGAUGACGUCAAAUCAGCACGGCCCUUAUGUCCAGGGCUACACACGUGUUACAAUGGCCGGUACAGAGGGCAGCUACCUGGAGACAGGAUGCGAAUCUCGAAAACCGGUCUCAGUUCGGAUCGGAGUCUGCAACUCGACUCCGUGAAGCUGGAUUCGCUAGUAAUCGCGCAUCAGCCAUGGCGCGGUGAAUACGUUCCCGGGCCUUGUACACACCGCCCGUCAAGCCAUGGAAGUUGGGGGUACCUGAAGUCCGUAACCGCAAGGAGCGGCCUAGGGUAAAACUAGUGACUGGGGCU
rnacentral:rRNA from 1 species